CAGCAAAUGGCUCUGCCCGGGCCUCCCCGCGGCUUAAAUCCCCCCGGCCCCGCCCCGCGCAGGCGCGCUGGGGCCCCGCGCACCUGUGCGCGCACCUGUGCUGGCCCCGCCCCCGGGCCCCUCCCGUAAAUGGCGGCGGAUCCGCACCCGCCUCACGUUCUGCGGGGGAUGCUCGGCCCGGGCUGCGGCGGGACCGGCGCUCGGAGAUCGGAUCGGGGCUGCUCCCGGCGCUGCGCGGCGUCCGACGGGCUCAGGCACGCAGGGAUGCUUCAGCCCGGACAGACGCCACCGACAGCCCAGAGGGACCCCAGGGAACGGCUGGCAUCACCUGGGAAUGGAGGCACGGCCGUUUGCAGAGGGGCUCUGACAGCAAUCCCUGUUUCUGACCUCCCCGAGCUCCCACACAGCUGCCAGGUACUAAAUCCCAAGCAAUAG
rnacentral:lncRNA from 1 species